CUACGGGCCGCUGCAGUUAGGAAUAUUUUGCAAUGCGCGCAAGCGUGACAAAUUGAGCCAGAGUGUUUUUCUUUUAUGAAAAGCUUUUAUGAAAUGUAAAAAGUUUCACGAAUAAGGACUGGGUAAGACGAGUGCCAGCUCGCCGCGGUAAUACUCGCGGUCCAAGUCGCAGCCAUUUUUAUUGGGUCUAAAACAUCCGUAGCUUGCUUGAUAAGUUUCCUGUGAAAUCUUGUCUCUUAAAGAGAAGGCGAGCAGGAAGUACUGUCAAGCUAGGGACUGGAAGACGUAAGAAGUACGUUUAAAGUAAUGGUAAAAUAUGUUAAUCUUAGACGGACUCACAAUAGCGAAGGCAUCUUACGAGGACAGUUCUGACAGUAAGGGAUGAAGGCCAGGGGCGCAAAACGGAUUAGAUACCCGAGUAGUC
rnacentral:rRNA from 1 species